rnacentral:lncRNA from 1 species
CCUCAUUGACUGUGGAAGCAAAUCUUCAUCCAAAACCCCUGAUGGAAAAGUCUUCAAGAGUGACCAAGAUACGGUCCAAUACAUAGAAGCCAAGGAUGAUAUUCAGGUCUCGGCCCCACCUUCAGACAAGGUCGCAUCUCCUAUCUACCUAACUGCAAGGAUCUUCCGUGAAGAAGCCAUCUACAAGUUCCAUCUGACCCGACCUGGUUGGCAUUGGGUUCGUCUCCAUUUCUUGGCCUUCCCUCUCCUAUCUACCUAACUGCAAGGAUCUUCCGUGAAGAAGCCAUCUACAAGUUCCAUCUGACCCGACCUGGUUGGCAUUGGGUUCGUCUCCAUUUCUUGGCCUUCCCUAACGACAAGUUUGAUCUCCAACAAGCGACUUUCUCCGUUCUAACGGAGAAGUAUGUGUUGCUUCAUAACUUUAAGAUUACUAACAACAACAAUGAUAGCCAAGCU